rnacentral:rRNA from 1 species
GACGAACCGAGCGAACGUUGUUCGGAAUAACUGGGCUUAAAGGGCGCGUAGGCGGGCUGUCAAGUUUGGGGUGAAAUGCCACGGCUCAACCGUGGAACUGCCUCAAAUACUGACGGUCUCGAGGGAGGUAGGGGCGAGCGGAACGGAUGGUGGAGCGGUGAAAUGCGUUGAUAUCUGGAGGAACACCGGUGGCGAAGGCGGCAUCCUGGACCGGUAUUGACGCUGAUGCGCGAAAGCCAGGGGAGCAAACGGG